rnacentral:pre_miRNA from 1 species
ACAACAUUCGGACUGUCGGUCUACCGAGCAAUAUCACCCGCUCGGCGGAAGAUCGUCAGUUUGUUGU